rnacentral:rRNA from 1 species
UACGGAGGGGACUAGCGUUGUUCGGAAUUACUGGGCGUAAAGCGCACGUAGGCGGAUUUGUAAGUCAGGGGUGAAAUCCCGGGGCUCAACCCCGGAACUGCCUUUGAUACUGGUAGUCUCGAGUCCGGAAGAGGUGAGUGGAAUUCCGAGUGUAGAGGUGAAAUUCGUAGAUAUUCGGAGGAACACCAGUGGCGAAGGCGGCUCACUGGCUCGAUACUGACGCUGAGGUGCGAAAGCGUGGGGAGCAAACAGG